UCCUGUGGUAUGUCAUACUUAUACCCAUAGCAACUCAUUUGUUAUUCAUUGAAGUCACAUGAAAGCUUGUUGACUGUCUGAAUGACACCAAAUGCGCAUAGCAACAAGCUUUUUGCUGCGCGUGCGCACCAAGAAACUACACUGCACUCAAUUAGUGUACUACUGUCUGGAGAUAAGUGGAUGUUUUUACAACUCUCUAACCACUAACAAGAAUAGUGAAAGAGGAAGUGUUCUAGUACUACUGCACAAUAAAAGGUAAUGGGCUGAUUUUUGUGCAAAAAUAAAAUUAGGUUUGAAACUUGACAAAAUAAUUAUAACUACGACUACAUAAUAAUUAGUAUACAUACAUGCAGAAACAACAUUCAGGAAUGAGUGAGGAGCACAUUGCUGUACUCUCCCAGCACUGCCGGGUGUGCGGAUCUCAUUUUAAAAACAAGAAGAGAGUCGAUCUCUUAGAGGUUUUUGGGAUCGAUGUCAAUGAAGACCAGGAUGAAAUUCAUAUUGCCACCCUUGAUGUAUCAUACCAAAGCAGCAGAAAAAGACAAAACGGAAUACAACCCCAGGAAAGUCAUUGCAACAUGGUCGGCACACACUGAAAAUUGCUUAGUAUGCUCGAGUGAUAGCGUUCACAGUGUUGGUGGGAGACCCAGUAUACAAACCUGGUAGACCAGUCCUUUCUGUCAGCCAUCAAACAGCAAUAGCUCCCCUCAGUUUUUGUCAGAAGAAAACAGUUUUUCAAAUGCCCCCUGUGUUUAGAGAUUCUAGAUAGAGUGUGAUACACUCGUCUGUGCCGAUUGCUUGUGUACACGGUUGCAAGGGUACACGGUUGCAGAGCACAUCGUGUCCUUGCUGCCAUACAGAGCACCUCAGCGAUUUGGACACAAUCCAACCUCCGUCCAAGAUUACUCUCAGGGCAUUAGAAACCAUUGAGGUUACGUGCAGUGAGUGUGCAAAACGAGGGUACCUAAAACAUCACAAGGCCCACGUUGAUAGCACGUUGAUAGCACAGAGCACUUCAACCCUGUACCAAUAGAACUCGACCCAUCUGACCUUUUGAACAACUGUCACCGUUCGAGGAGAAACUACAAUCGAGGCUGAUCAAACGCAGUAUGCACAGAGGAAGCCACUGACUUUUGUACAAGUAAGCUCACCUCGAGUAUCCAGUGGCAGUGCCAGCCAAACCACUCUCAAACGGCGUAGUACUGAGUAGUACUGAGCUGUUGGAAGUACGCAAAAGCGUGAGCGAUGUACAGCACGAAAGGAAGACCGGGAGAAGUUGGUUGACGGACUGGGAAUUCAAUCGGUCUUGAUGAUUCCGUUUUACAAGCUACGAAUCAUGAAGAAGUAAUACAUGUACAAUAAUUAUAACAUCUCUCUUACCUCAAGCAAUUUUCGCACUUUAACCCUGUACCAAUAGAACUCUACCCAUCUGACCUUUUGAACUUUUGAAGAACUGUCACCGUUCGAGGAGAAACUACAAUCGAGGCUGAUCAAACGCAGUAGCUGAAAGUGAAGACAGGAGGAACGCCACUGACUUUUGUGCAAGUAAGCUCACCUUGAGUAUCCGGUGGCAGUGCCCAGCCAAACCACUCUCAAACGGCGUAGUACUGAGCUGUUGGAAGUACGCAAGAGGGUGAGCGGUGGUGAGGAUGUACUGCAGUUGAGCAAUGAGGUGGACUGGGAGAAGUUGGUUGAGGAGCUCAAGAAAACUACGGACUGCUUAGCUUGGGAAUUCAAUCGGUCUUGAUGAUUCCGUUUUACAAGCUACGAAUAAGAAGAUGCGAGCAGAAGGCAAUUCACCUCAAGUCUGAGCUGGUUCCUUUCACCUUCCCACUCAGAGAUGGUAGACACACGGUAGAAAUACCUAUGUGCUACACUCCAAAUCUGUGGGAGUACGAUGACGCUGAGAGGAGAGUGCACCGACUGACGUGGCACAAUGGCAGGAUCCCAGAGAGUGAGAUAUGGGUCAAGCUGGGAGGCGACAAGGGAGGAGGGAGUUCAAGGGAGGAGGGAGUUUUAAGAUGAAUUUUCAAAUCUACAACGUCGAUCACCCCAACUCCCCUGUCAAUACCUGUGCGUUUUGUGUGUCCUCAGAAUAGCGUUACAGAGGUUCCAGGACGAGGUCGACAGCAUGCACACCAGACAUACUACCUAUAACAUAAUUAUUACAAUUAUAGAGGAAAGAGUAUCAGGGUGUACUAGUUUCUGUCAGGUGCUUCAGGGUGCCUGAUAAUUUCGGAUCAGCUGAGGACACCACCCACAACAGAACAGUGGAGAGUAGAAGUACUGACAGCAUCGUGCGGGACAACCAAAGAUUUAUGGCAGCAGGAGGGACAAAGCAGGAGGGACAAAGUGAAGAGCUACUUGCGUCAGGGAACCGUUUUUUAAGCAGUCAAGUAGAAAAUAUAUUUUAUUUAACACCCACCUUAACACCCACCUUUUUCUGAAAUGCAGGUCUGCCCUCCAGGUCUGCAUAUUGGUUUGGGACCGUCUGUUCCAAUUAAUGGAGGAUCAGUGUCAUCAGUUAGAAGUUGACAGUCGUGAGAAGGGCGGUCCGUCAUACAUGGAUGAAGCCAGAACCCGAGCUAGACAUCCCUACAGAAACUUGUGUAGGGCAAAUGAGCUCACCUGAAUGAUCUUGUGGGCAGUGUUCGGACAGGGUGAGGAAGGUGAGGAUCCUGAGCUGCAAGCCCUCCGCUCCGAGCUCGAGGAGAAAGCCCUGCAUGUGAACAAACUGCCAAAGAACAUAGUGGAGCUUUGUAACGCAGUGGUGCUGGCAGCAGGUAACUACCAACCUGCUAUUAUGGAGAAGGCAGAGAAGAUCCAGAGGACAUUUUCGGUUGUAUUUGAUCUUUUUAGCAAGUGUCACAACAUCUACAGUGAGUGUAUAUGCUUCCCUAGGUAUAGGUAAAUUAUUUGUCUAAAGAAAUGCCACAAAUUACCUUGUAAUUCCAUCCAAAGAUUGCACAUCAAAUCAUUCAUGACGUACUACCGAGAGUCGUGAUACCAAAAAUGCAUAUGCUGGAGAAGCACGUAGUUGACUGGCUCAACGAGUGGAAGGUAGGAUUAGGACAGAUGGGCGAGCAAGGGGCAGAGUGAUUCAAGCCUACUUUACUUUACUUUACUUUAAUAAUC